UACGAAGGGGGCUAGCGUUGCUCGGAAUCACUGGGCGUAAAGGGCGCGUAGGCGGCGUUUUAAGUUGGGGGGUGAAAGCCUGUGGCUCAACCACAGAAUUGCCUUCGAUACUGGGACGCUUGAGUGUGGUAGAGGUUGGUGGAACUGCGAGUGUAGAGGUGAAAUUCGUAGAUAUUCGCAAGAACACCGGUGGCGAAGGCGGCCAACUGGACCAUCACUGACGCUGAGGCGCGAAAGCGUGGGGAGCAAACAGG
rnacentral:rRNA from 1 species